ACCCACACCUCUGGCCCCCGCCAUUUCCCCCCCCACCUCUGGCCCCCCCGCCAUUUCCCCCCCACACCUCUGGCCCCGUCAUUGCCCCGCCCACCUCUGGCCCCCGUCAUUUCCCUCCCACCUCUGGCCCCCGUCAUUGCCCCCCCCACCUCUGGCCCCCAUCUUCGGCCCUCCCACCUUGGGUCACCUGCCAUCGACCCUGAACUAAGGCUCUCUAUCUCUGGGCCCCUGGCUUUUCCAUCUCUAAUUGUGGGUGGCACUUAGUAUUGAGCUGGGGGCAGAGCUGACUGUGAUGUCAGGUGACUAACAGGGCGCAGGAUGAAACUUGUGGCGCGUGAUGAUUCCAUGGGAUGAAUUCAUCUCUACUGCUGAUGCCACAAGCUUUAAUGUCCCUGGCACCUCGAAGGCUCACCUUUCAGUUCACUUACUAUGGGCUAUCUGCAUUAUUUCUAUCAUACAUUCUUUCUUAUGCUUUUCAGCUGGUGUUUGAUCUUAGGAAAAUGUGGAGGUAAAUAUCUUCUUCAUAAACGUGGUGCAGCCUUUGUAUAGUUGCACAUAAAUAGUCACUGUGUUUUGUUACUUGUUUUUGAGAUUUUGCUAAGAAAUCUGUGAACCUAUUUCUUUCCUUCAACGCCCAACCACGGACUUCUUUGAGGAAUUGUGUCCAGAAUUCAGCAUAUGGUAAAGCAAAGACGGUGCCUCUACAUACCAAAAGACCUGGGUCUCAUGUUCCAGUUAGAAGAAGUAGGAAGCCAUCGAUCAAGACUAAGAAGCUGCUUGCACAGUGAAUCCCACGCAAAACCCGUAGAACUGACUCUCCUAAUACCACAGACAGAGAUGGAAAAUGGCUUCUCUGCUCUAUUUUGCUCUUCUUUUUUUGCUGUAAAAACUUUGAAAAAUGAAUAAAAAAGGAAUAUAUGAAAAAGUA